rnacentral:rRNA from 1 species
CCUCAUGCUAUAGGAGCGGCCGAUGUCUGAUUAGCUAGUUGGUGGGGUAAAGGCCCACCAAGGCGACGAUCAGUAGCUGGUCUGAGAGGACGAUCAGCCACACUGGGACUGAGACACGGCCCAGACUCCUACGGGAGGCAGCAGUGGGGAAUUUUGGACAAUGGGCGAAAGCCUGAUCCAGCAAUGCCGCGUGUGUGAAGAAGGCCUUCGGGUUGUAAAGCACUUUUGUCCGGAAAGAAAUGGUUAUGGUUAAUACCCGGGGUGGAUGACGGUACCGGAAGAAUAAGCACCGGCUAACUACGUGCCAGCAGCCGCGGUAAUACGUAGGGUGCAAGCGUUAAUCGGAAUUACUGGGCGUAAAGCGUGCGCAGGCGGUUAUGCAAGACCGAUGUGAAAUCCCCGAGCUUAACCUGGGAAUUGCAUUGGUGACUGCAUGGCUAGAGUGUGUCAGAGGGGGGUAGAAUUCCACGUGUAGCAGUGAAAUGCGUAGAGAUGUGGAGGAAUACCGAUGGCGAAGGCAGCCCCCUGGGACAACACUGACGCUCAUG